AUGCAGGUGCCCCCCCCCCACAAGGUUGAGGGAGUCAAUCGGGCCAUAAGGCAGCUGGAAGAGCCCCAGGAUACAUGGCGUCUAUUCAACAAUGCCAGUUUUUUUUUUCUUCAGUUCUUAGAUAACUAUCUGGAAUGUCGCCAGAAGCUGCCACUGGCUCAAAACCAGACUUAUUUGGCAUCAGAGGCCGAAGAACCAACAACAGACCGCAGACCCAAAAGAAAAAUCAAUUAUGACUUUUAUGCAUCUCAAAGUGCCUUUUGUUCCAACAUAUUUUUGCAAAGCCAGUCUCUUUAUGAACUCAUAUUUGUCUUUUGUUUUGUAUGUCUCUAAUAAAGGCCAAAUAGACACGUCCGACUGGAAUUGACCCCAGUCCUCCAAAGAAACAGGCCUUCCAAAAUCACCUAAGGUCCCUGCGAUCUCUGGACCGUCCAACAUCAGGCGCUUCAUAAUAGCGCAGCCCACACAGAGUGGGUGUUAUGAGGUCCCUGUGACCAAUGAGGAGCCUCAGGAUUUCAGGAGCUUUUCUGCGUGACCUGUUGGUUAACCAACAAAUCCUGAUGGACCAGCAAAAGACCAUGAUACGCAUGAUCCAAGACCUCCACAGAUCCAUCCAGGGAGGUCAGAGGAUGUCCACCACCUCCAGGCAUAAUGCUGCCUAUUCUCCGUUGGGGGAUAAACUGGCUCUGGAGGAGGCCCUGGAGGGUGACCUGGCAAGCCAGCGGGACCUUCGUCAUGAAUUGGGGAGCUGCUUUUGAUUUUCUUUGUUUACCAUACAUAGACGAAUGUGUGGCGCAGCGCCACAGAAUCAACACAGAGCGCCAAAUUGAUUCUGCUUCUUUUUUUCUUUUUUUUUUGCGAUUUUUAAUUUUAAUCAUCGUUCCGUUCAUUCAUCUCCUCAGCACUCUUUCUCCCUGACAUUCUCGUUCACACACGCAUACGCACACGAACACGCACAGAGACAAGUGCGCAUUCAUGCCAGUGGUGCGCUGGUACACUAAACAGCAGAUUCGCCCUUCCUCCUCUCAACGCGCCUAUCAAAGGAAAACCCGAAGCAGCGGUAUUUUUGGCACAGAGAAGACGUUUUACCAAAGUUUAGUAGCCUAUGAUAUAGGCUACCAUGCUAAAAAAGACCUGGCCAUAAUUAUUGUUAAUUCAAAAUUAUUCUUAACUAAAACGAUGCGAUUAAUAUGAAACACGGCCGUAAUAAUCUAAUUGUAUAUUAUCACUCUUGGAUUGGCAGAGGGAGCUGAUGCCUAAGACACAGUGUGGCGCAUUCUCAAACAGGCCGUCAAAAAUGACCUUGCAGAGAACAUCUCAUGGCGGGAGAUGAAUGGAAAGAUUUCAUUCGAAAAACUACAUCUGAAGGCAGUAGUGAUGGAUGCAGUGAGGCGCAAUCCAUCCUGCUCAUCCGCAACGGAUGUGCAGAUUGCGGAUGCCAUUAAACAAAGGUGAUGGCUGCUGGUGCUGGUGGUGGCGGCUGCUGAUGAUGUAUGCGGCUGAUGAUGUAUGCGGCUGAUGGUGUAUGUGGCUUAUGGUGAUUGCUGCUGAUGGUGGAUGCUGAUGGCGGUGGCUGCUGCUGCUGGUGGCUUGAGCUGGCUGGUGCCGGCAAACACUGCUGCUGCAGGUCACUGCUGCUUGAGGCGAUGGCUGCUUGAGCUGGCUGGUGGUGUCGACUUCUGCUGCUAGUGGUGGCGGUUUGGGCUGGCGAUGGCUGUUGGUGGUGGCAACUGCUGGUGGCUGGUGGUGUCGGUGGCGACUGCUGCGAUUGUUGCCCUUCCUUUCGACCUGAUGCACUUCACUAUCCUUAACCUCAGCCUGAUGUAUGUGGAGUAUUCUCUUUGUUUAUUAAUAACUUAUAAUAUUCCUACCUGUUCCUUCACUUUGUUCUUUUUUUUACAAGUUAGAUAUACACGCACACCUGUUUACACAUUUGUUGUUCUUGUUCCACACAUGACUAACAUUAUUUUAUUUAUUGAUACGAAAAAGCUGAAAUUAUAACUACUUGAACAAACAAAUGGAAAUGCUGCUCUCUUACUUUCUAUUGCUAAUACUUUGCUGCACUUUUUUAUGUUUCAUGCCAUUCAAAUUGUUCAAGAUACUGUUCUUGAUUACUUUGCUGUUCUUGUUCACACUUACUGUAUGUUUGCUUCGUUGUUCUUAGUCCUUGUUCCCACUUGAUUUUUGGUUCCACAAACCUCAGCCUGAUAUACUAUGUGGAGAGGAUUUUUUUUCUAAACACUCAGCAUCUCAAACACUGCGUCCAGCUUUACAUGGUGCAUCCUCCUUUGCAGCGUGCAGAUGUUAGGCAGUGGAAUCUGCAUUUGCUGGAGGGUUUUAUAACCAGUGGUCCAUUUUACUUGUAUUGCUUUUUUAAUUGUCUCCUUUCCUCACCGUGUUCCUCUCUUGUUAACACUUAUAUAAACAAUAUUCAUCCCUGUUCCUUCACUUCGUUCUUGUUUUUCAAGUUGGAUACACACACACACACACACACACACACACAGAUUAUUGUUGUCUCACCCAUUGUUUAAUAAAAAAAAUACUAUUUCAUUCAUCC
ensembl:lncRNA